rnacentral:rRNA from 1 species
GACGAAGGGUGCAAACGUUGCUCGGAAUCAUUGGGUGUAAAGCGCACGUAGGCGGCCUCGCAAGUCUGAUGUGAAAUCCCUCGGCUCAACCGAGGACGUGCAUCGGAAACUGCGGGGCUUGAGUACUGAAGAGGAUCGCGGAAUUCCCGGUGUAGAGGUGAAAUUCGUAGAUAUCGGGAGGAACACCAGUGGCGAAGGCGGCGAUCUGGGCAGAUACUGACGCUGAGGUGCGAAAGCGUGGGGAGCAAACAGG